CGUCCGCAGAUCGCCCCUCAAGCGCGGGGCGCCGCUUUUCGGUGUCGCCUGUCGUCCCCGCCGCGCCAAUGGGGCUCCGGGGCCUCUUUGUGCCGCCUCGGCCGCCGCUUCCUGUCCGGCGCGCUCACCUGCCACGCGGCUCUACCAACGGUGGCCCGCCGUGCACAAAAUUUCCCAACAAUGGCAGCAGGAACGAUUUAUUUUUCUCACUGUGAGCUCUUUAGGCGUAUUUCUUUCCUCUCUUCGUUGUAUCUUCUUUCUUACCCGGUGCAAGCUUUGAAUCCAGUGCGGGAAUCUUAGAAACGCCGGUGUCGUGACAUCCACCGAAGCCGGGAGGAAGUUGCGCUCGACAAUGCACAUUGUUUCCUACCAACUUCUUUCCAGAUCGCAUGCUCCUAAACAGAAUGGAACCCACGAGCUUCCACCCAGAAUGCAAGCACUGCAAGGUGCCCAACACCCUCUAUACCACAUGGUAUGGGAAUGUGAUGGCACCCGCGUACAGCCCAUCAAGGAACCAACCGUGGAGCAGUUGGAGGCCCGGCUGACCAGCCCCGACCCUGAGGACCAGGCGAGCCUAGUGGACAGGACGCGGGCCCGGGCCCGCGGACUGAAGACGCCACGCGCCUAGGGUGGAGGUGGCGCCAUUGCUCCUUUGAUCAAUAAAGUUUAUUACUACUACUAUACUACUACGUGCGUGAGGCCCACAAAUAAAAAGAAUGCUGUUAAUGUAUGUACAUGAACUUUCACAAAAAAAUAAAAUAAAUAAAA